rnacentral:lncRNA from 1 species
CUGGAUUUCCCCAAGAUAAAUUAGGACCUAGAUGUUUUGUUUUGUUUUAACCAGAUGGAUUUAUCCAUAUCCAUUAUAAUUUUCUAAAGUUUAGUUGACAGAGAAGUUUUAAAAAAUGUCUCAUAAACAAAAGCAUAGGUAAAUUGUUCUUCAUAGUCCACAGCAUAUAGGUGGAACACAUUUACUAGUGUUUUGACUUUUUAUAAUGAGGACCCCAAUAGGUUGUUUAUUACAACACUUUAUUAUAUCACUUUAUUAAUAACCUGAUUUUUAAGUGACUUAGAUAUUAGUUUUAAUUCCAACUGAAUUUUUUUUUUCCAGAAUGGAAAUAGCUUUAUUGUUUUUCAGAUUCGAAAUGGACCCUGUUCACCAGAAAGCACUCCGAUGCCAUAGGAAAGAAUAAUAAAAUGAAAUCAUUUUUAUUCCCAUCACUAACUACUACUGACCACCAUUUAUGGUGUAUAUUCUUUCAAAC